CUGGAGUAUAAUGGUGGCAGCCCAGUGUUUGCACCAGAGUGAGACACACUUCUCCCCUGCUCCAGAUUGAUUGUUGUGUAUUAGCAGUGGCUAAUAAUCCUUCAGUUGUGAAAUCUCUGGAGAGACGGUAAUUACUGCGACAGGAUGGGGCCCCAGCGAGACAGCGUGCUGCAGUUCAUCCUGUCACUAUCGCUCAAGCACGUCUUCUCUUCCAGCCACAAACGUAACUAAAUGAAUUAGUCUCCUGUAGAGCGAGAGAGUGGAGCAGGCUAGCAUGCUCGUCUGAGACUGAAACCAAGCUGAAAUCCGCCGCUGAUACACUAAGUGCGAGUGGCAUCACUUCACAGCAUCCACCUUUGAAAAAUACCAAGCAAAUCUGACAGGAACUUCACAGCCACUUUAAACUUUAACUGUAAAGUACUACAAUAGAAAGUACAUUAAAUUAGUAGU